UACGUAGGGGGCGAGCGUUACCCGGAUUUACUGGGCGUAAAGAGCGUGUAGGCGGCUGGCCAAGCGUGAUGUGAAAUCUUCGGGCUUAACCCGAAAACUGCAUUGCGAACUGGUCUGGCUAGAGUGUGUGAGAGGGUAGUGGAAUUCCCGGUGUAGCGGUGAAAUGCGUAGAUAUCGUGGGGAACACCAGAGGCGAAGGCGGCUACCUGGACAAUUGCUGACGCUCAGGCACGAAAGCGUGGGGAGCAAAAGGG
rnacentral:rRNA from 1 species